rnacentral:rRNA from 1 species
UCGGAUUGUAGUCUGCAACUCGACUACAUGAAGCUGGAAUCGCUAGUAAUCGCGAAUCAGAAUGUCGCGGUGAAUACGUUCCCGGGUCUUGUACACACCGCCCGUCACACCAUGGGAGUCGGAAAUGCCCGAAGUCAGUGACCUAACCGAAAGGAAGGANCUGCCGAAGGUGGAGCCGGUAACUGGGGUGAAGUCGUAACAAGGUAUC